UAUAAACAAGGGAGAGAUAUAAAC
rnacentral:piRNA from 1 species